rnacentral:lncRNA from 1 species
AACGAGGGUGUUUUGUUAGAGGCUGUGGUUGCAUUUAAAAAUUAGAAUAGGAACAACGACUUGUAAAAAUUCAACACUUUAUUUUAUUUUUGAGACAGUCUCACUGUGUUGUCCAGGCUGGAGUGCAGUGGCUUGAUCUCAGCUCACUGCAACCUCCCCCUCCAGGGUUCAAGCCAUUCUCUUGCCUCAGCCUCCCGAGUAGCUGGGAUUACAGAUUUGUGCCACCAUACCUGGCUAAUUUUUGUAUUUUUAGUAGACAAGGGGUUUCACCAUGUUGGCCAGGCUGGUCUUGAACUGCCAACCUCAGGUGAUCCUCCCCCCUCAGCCUCCCAAAUUGCUGGGAGUACAGGCGUGAUAUAACAUUUUAACAUUUUAAACUACCACUUACUACAUUCACUGUGUCUGUGAUUUAAUAUAUCUUUUUCAGUGGCCACAAAAUUAUAAAAUGGAUACAGAAUAGUCUCUUCAAAAAAUUAAGGAAGUUCUUUUUUUUUCUUUUUCUUUUCUUUACUUUUUUUUUUUUUUUUUUUUUUUUUUUUUUUUUUUUUGGUUUGAGACGGAGUCUUGCUCUGUCGCCCAGGCUAGAGUGCAGUGGCACAAUCUUGGCUCACUGCAACCUCUGCCUCCCGGGUUUAAGGAAUUCUCUGCUUCAGCCUCCCGAGUAGCUGGGAUUACAGGCGCCCGCCACCACGCCCAGCUAAUUUUUUUUGUAUUUUUAGUAGAGACGAAGUUUCACCAUCUUGGCCAGACUGGUCUUGAAUUCCUGACCUCAGCCCGCCUCGGCCUCCCAAAGUGCUGGGAUUACAGGCGUGAGCCACAGCGCCCGGCCGGAAGUUCUUUCUUCUUGAAGGGAUUAUAAAUAUAAUUCAUACUGGCAUGACACUUUUACUAAUAUAGAUUGACUUUUCGCUUCAAAUAACCCAUUCGUACAUCGAAAUUAAUUUUGGUCAGUAUGUGUGUGUGUGGAUGUAUGUGUAUGUGGAUGUGUGGAUGUAUGUGUGUGUGGAUGUGUGGAUGUAAAUGGCAGUAAAGGGUAAAAGGGAAGGUGGAGAAAAGGGAGAUGGUCUAACAUUUUCCACACAUUUUUAAAUACACAAAAUGUGUAUUUAACACAAUACACAUACAAUAAAAUAUGUAGUAAAACAAUGGUGUGGUGAAAACAAAACAUUGCGAACUAGAAAAAAGACUUAGCCGCUGGUCCUGUCGGAUCCGCCCCGCGGCGGCGCCCUC